rnacentral:rRNA from 1 species
AUUGAACGCUGGCGGCAUGCUUUACACAUGCAAGUCGAACGGUAACAGGCCGCAAGGUGCUGACGAGUGGCGAACGGGUGAGUAACGCAUCGGAACGUGCCCAGUCGUGGGGGAUAACUACUCGAAAGAGUAGCUAAUACCGCAUACGAUCUAUGGAUGAAAGCGGGGGACCGUAAGGCCUCGCGCGAUUGGAGCGGCCGAUGUCAGAUUAGGUAGUUGGUGGGGUAAAGGCUCACCAAGCCAACGAUCUGUAGCUGGUCUGAGAGGACAACCAGCCACACUGGGACUGAGACACGGCCCAGACUCCUACGGGAGGCAGCAGUGGGGAAUUUUGGACAAUGGGCGCAAGCCUGAUCCAGCAAUGCCGCGUGCAGGAAGAAGGCCUUCGGGUUGUAAACUGCUUUUGUACGGAACGAAACGGCUCUGGUUAAUACCCGGGGCUAAUGACGGUACCGUAAGAAUAAGCACCGGCUAACUACGUG